GCCACGCCCCUUUCCGCCAUGACAGUAGGCUAGACACAGGAUACAGCUUCAGCUAUGGUUCGUACGUGUUGUGUUAUCAGUUGCAACGUUUGAUCACACGAUCGUGAAGGCAAGAAGCCGGAUAAUGGGCUCUCUUUUCAUCGUUUUUCAACCUGGAGGCAAUGUGAAGGAUCCCAUGUAUCCGAUAUUACUAAACAAAGACGUCAGGCUUGCAUUGCAGCGGUGAGACGAGCGGAUCGAGUUCUGUGCAAUCCCCAGCUUUUUGUUGGUUUGGUCUCCGCAUCUUCUUUCCGUCAGCGCAUACACAGCAAACCAGUUUAAGAAUUAUAAAUCCCUGGAGGCCCACAUCCAAUUCACGAAUGGCUGGGUGCAAGAUUUGUCCAUCUUUAUGCCUCCACGCUGCGAC
ensembl:lncRNA